CCCGCAAUUGGCUGGCUGUGGUGAGGUGGGUGCGAAGUGCAUGAGCUCCCGCCAAAGGAAAAUGUCAAAUGGCUCCGGCAUGGAUUCCCAGCACCGCUCUCCGGAAUACAGCUCCCUCCUCCUCGCCGGCCCUCGAGCCGGCCCUCUGAAGCAAGCCCACGCGCGCCUCGUCGUCACCGGCCACGGCCGCUCCCUCCCCCUCAUCACCAAGCUGGCCACGCUCGCCGUCGCAGCCGGCGCCGCUCCAUACGCGCACCUCGUCGCCACCUCCCACCCCGCACCCGAUGCAUUCCUCUUCUCAUCCCUCACGCGCGCGGCCGCGCGCGGCCGCCUCCCCCGCGCCGCCCUCGCGUUCUACCGCCGCCUCCUCUCCGCCGCACUCCCCUUCUCCAGCUUCACCUUCACCGCUGCCGCCAAGGCCUGUGCCGACGUGUCCGCCCUCCGAACCGGCAAGGCCAUCCACGCGCACUCCCUCCUCCUCGGAUUCGGAUCCGACCGUUUCGUGCUGACGUCGCUGGUCGUGCUCUACUCCAAAUGCGGCCAGCUAGCUGUUGCACGCAGCCUGUUCGACGCAAUUCGUGAUAGAAGCGUGGUCGCCUGGAACGCGAUGGUUUCUGGGUACGAGCAGAACGGGCUCGCCGAACGGGGGAUCGAGGUGUAUAAGGAGAUGCAGGUGGCCGAAGCGGUGCCGGAUUCCAUGACAUUUGUAGCCACGCUCUCUGCCUGUGCACAGGCUGGUGCGCUGGACUUGGGUCGCGAGGUGGAGAGACAUAUUGUUUCUGAAAGAAUGGACAUGAGCGUGUUUCUGGGCUCAGCUCUCGUGAACAUGUAUGCCAGGUGCGGUGUUGUGGACAAGGCUCGCGAGUGGUUCGACAUGCUGCAGGAGCGGAACGUGGUUACAUGGACUUCCAUGAUCGCAGGGUACGGAAUGCACGGCCAUGGCCAUGAGGCGAUCAAGCUGUUCCGUUUGAUGAGACGCGAGGGGCCGCCGCCCAAUCAUGUCACCUUUAUUGCUGUUCUAUCUGCAUGUGCACACGCUGGGUUGGUUAUGGAGGGCCGGGAUGCUUUUGCUUGCAUGAGGAGGGUCUAUGGACUGGUCCCUCGUGUCGAGCACUAUUGCUCUAUGGUUGAUAUGUUUGGAAGGGCUGGACUUCUUGACGAAGCAAUGCAAUUCGUACAUGAUUAUAUCCCUGGAGAGCCAGGACCUGAAGUUUGGACAGCAAUACUUGGGGCGUGCAAGAUGCACAAGAAUUUCAAUCUCGGGGUGGAAGUGGCUGAGCGAUUGAUUGCUCUCGAGCCUGAGAAUCCAUCCUACCAUGUUCUGCUUUCUAACAUAUAUGCUCUGUCCGGUAAAAUGCACCAUGUCGAGAAGGUGAGGAAUACCAUGAUCAAGAGAAGAUUGAAGAAGCAGAUAGGAUUCAGCUUGAUUGAGCUCGGAGGUACAUCCCAUUUGUUUCGAAUGGGCGAAAAGUCUCAUCGGCAAACUAGAGAGAUUUACCACUACUUGGAAGAACUGAUCCAUAGGAUUACUGCUGCUGGCUACAUGCCUGAAACUGAGUCAGUGCUGCAUGAGCUAGAAGAGGAGGAGAGGGAGGGUGCACUUAGAUAUCACAGUGAAAAACUGGCAGUAGCAUAUGGGCUCAUGAUGAGUUCUGGGAGCACCACUCCCAUCAGAGUAAUAAAAAACCUGCGGAUAUGCGGGGAUUGCCAUCUCGCUAUCAAAUUUAUGUCAGCUGUGGAGAACCGAGAGAUCGUUGUCAGGGAUAAGCACCGCUUUCACCAUUUUAAAGAUGGCAAGUGUUCAUGUCUGGAAUAUUGGUGACAAGCUCUCAUCUGCUGUUAGUCAGCUACAAGUACAGAUAUGAUCCGUUAGCAGAAUAUCUUGGCUUCAUCGACAACGGUGCCUUCUGUGUUGAUGGUGUCUUUCCCUAUCACUUCUCAAGCGGCCAUUGGUGACUCCACCUUUUAUAUUUCUUCACUAUGCCGUAAAUGUUCCUUCAAGAAACUCAGACACCCAAGCUGCUUUAGUAACCUGAACAGCACCAAGACAGAUCAUGUUGCAUUGCAGGGGUACCUCUAGUUAUCUCCCACAAUGGUGCUAGUGGUGACUACCCAGACUGCACUGACCUAGCUUAUCAAAAGGUGAGGAAUACCAUGAUCAAGAGAAGAUCAAAGAAGCAGAUAGGAUUCAGUUUGACUGAGC